rnacentral:rRNA from 1 species
GCGCAGCAGUUGCGAAAACUUGUCAAUGCACGAAAGCGUGACGGAGCUAUCCCGAGUGCCGUCCGCUGAGGAUGGCUUUUCCCCAGUGUAGAUAGCUGGGGGAAUAAGGAGAGGGCAAGUCUGGUGUCAGCCGCCGCGGUAAUACCAGCUCUCCGAGUGGUGGGGAUGUUUAUUGGGCCUGAAGCAUCCGUAGCUGGCUGAGCAAGUUCUCCUUUAAAUCCAGCGAUUUAAUCGUUGGACUGCGGGGGAUACUGUUCGGCUAGGGGGCGGGAGAGGCCGACGGUAUUCUCGGGGUAGGGGUGAAAUCCUAUAAUCCCGGGAAGACCACCAGUGGCGAAGGCUGUCGGCUAGAACGCGCCCGACGGUGAGGGAUGAAAGCUGGGGGAGCGAACCGGAUUAGAUACCCCGGUAGUCC